UCCUUUGAAAGAAUGUUCUUGCCACAUGUUUUAUUUUUUUUGUUUUGAAUUUAUUCAAUGAUUGUGAUCCCAAGAAGUGCACAACAAGGGUCAGAAGAGCUAUUUUUAUAGUUUUUGUAAGAUUCCACACCAUUAAGUGCAUAUACAGCCAUUAUAAUUUAUUAAACCAGCCAGGGUUGUGAUUCUUUUUUUUUUAAACUGCCUUGUUACUAAUUUUAAUGUUAUGUAUUUAAUCGACAGUCAUAUCAGUGGAUCAUGUGAUGCUUUUUUAUUCAGAAACUUUUCUAUCUCGGAGAAGAGUUGGCUGAUAUUUUAACAUUAUAUAAAUAUAUAUGUAUACAGGUUGGCCAUUUCUCUACAUUUUAGUCGGUUGUAGAAACAUUUGCUAAGCAGAUGAUCAGUGCUCUGAUAAUCAUGAUUUUUUUUGUACCCCUCAAUUUUUUUUUAGGUAAUUAUGUAUCCUCUGAAUAUACAUAUUGAUGUCUAUUGAUGUUAGUGUAUAAUUAUUAUACAACAUGUAUGAUACUGCUGUUUAGUUUAUGUAUGAAAACUUAUUAAAUCAAAACUUCACAUUAGGGUUAUGUGCAUUUUUGCAAGGUGAUGCUACAUUGGUCUUUUUCAUGUGUAUUAAUUUCUCUGUUUCUGGGUUUUUUGUUCAUAUCACAAAGAAUUUUAUAUUAGGAAAUUUAUUUUACAACUUAUUACAUGUAUAUGUUUCAGAUGUGUAUUGUACAUUUCAUAUGAUUAUAUUCAUAUUACUGACAAAAUAAAUUUAUGAUAUACACU
rnacentral:misc_RNA from 1 species